rnacentral:rRNA from 1 species
UACGGAGGGUGCGAACGUUAAUCGGAAUCACUGGGCGUAAAGCGCGCGUAGGCGGUUCGUUAAGUGGGAUGUGAAAUCCCCGGGCUUAACCUGGGAAUCGCAUUUCAAACGGGCCGACUAGAGUACGGUAGAGGGAGGUAGAAUUUCCUGUGUAGCGGUGAAAUGCGUAGAUAUAGGAAGGAAUACCAGUGGCGAAGGCGGCCUCCUGGAUCGAUACUGACGCUGAGGCGCGAAAGCGUGGGGAGCAAACAGG